CACUUCUAAGGAAGGCAGCAGGCGCGCAAAUUACCCAAUCCUGACUCAGGGAGGUAGUGACAAGAAAUAACAAUAAACCGGCUUAUGCCGGUUUAAUUGGAAUGAGUACAAUUUAAACAUCUUAACGAGGAACAAUUGGAGGGCAAGUCUGGUGCCAGCAGCCGCGGUAAUUCCAGCUCCAAUAGCGUAUACUAAAGUUGUUGCAGUUAAAAAGCUCGUAGUUGGAUUUCUGUGGGGACGGAGCGGCCGGCCGCAACUCGCGGUUCGAGCUAGCGCUUUCCCUACAUCCUGCCGCGAACCGUGCUACCAUUAGUUUGGUGGCGCCGGGGAUCGGCUCGAUUACUUUGAGAAAAAUAGAGUAUUCAAAGCAGGCCACAUGCCUUGAAUAAGUUAGCAUGGAAUAAUAACUAAGGAUUUCGGUUCUAUUUUGUUGGUGUUCGGGACUGAAGUAAUGAUUGAUAGGGACAGUUGGGGCGGUCUGUAUUCCAAAGCGAGAGGUGAAAUUCUUAGACCUUCGGAAGACAAACAGCUGCGAAAGCGUUCCGCAAGGACGUUCCCUUUGAUCAAGAACGAAAGUUGGGGGAUCGAAGACGAUCAGAUACCGUCGUAGUCUCAACUAUAAACUAUACCAGCUAGGGAUCGGCCAACGUUAUUUCAAACCGACUUGGUCGGCACCUUAUGAGAAAUCAAAGCAUCUGGGUUCCGGGGGGAGUAUGGUCGCAAGGCUGAAACUUAAAGGAAUUGACGGAAGGGCACCACCAGCCGUGGAGCCUGUGGCUUAAUUUGACUCAACACGGGAAAACUUACCAGGUCCAGACAUAGUAAGGAUUGACAGAUUGAUAGCUCUUUCUUGAUUCUGUGGGUGGUGGUGCAUGGCCGUUCUUAGUUGGUGGAGUGAUUUGUCUGGUUAAUUCCGUUAACGAACGAGACCCCAGCCUGCUAAAUAGCGCGCGUGAGCUUUGCUCGCGGCGAGCUUCUUAGAGGGACUAUGAUGCGCGAUAGCACAUGGAAGUUUGGGGCAAUAACAGGUCUGUGAUGCCCUUAGAUGUUCUGGGCCGCACACGGGCUACACUGGCGCCUGCAACGAGCAUAUCAGCUGGCCCGAGAGGGUCUUGGCUAAUCUUUUGAACCGGCGCCGUGCUUGGGAUUGACGUUUGCAAUUGUUGGUCAUGCAACGAGGAAUGCCUUGUAAACGCGAGUCAUCAGCUCGCAUUGAAUACGUCCCUGCCCUUUGUACACACCGCCCGUCGCUCCUACCGAUGAAUGUUCCGAUGAAAUUUUCGGAGAGUGCCUGUGAACUUGGCUCUGCCUUGCGAACGGGAAGCUCAAAGUCACUUAAAUCUGAACAUUUCGAGG
rnacentral:rRNA from 1 species